GGAGGCGCCCAAAGGUUCCCUCAGAAUGGUUGGAAAUCAUUCGCAGAGUGUAAAGGCAUAAGGGAGCUUGACUGCGAGACCUACAAGUCGAGCAGGGACGAAAGUCGGGCUUAGUGAUCCGGUGGUUCCGCAUGGAAGGGCCAUCGCUCAACGGAUAAAAGCUACCCUGGGGAUAACAGGCUUAUCUCCCCCAAGAGUCCACAUCGACGGGGAGGUUUGGCACCUCGAUGUCGGCUCAUCGCAUCCUGGGGCUGUAGUCGGUCCCAAGGGUUGGGCUGUUCGCCCAUUAAAGCGGUACGCGAGCUGGGUUCAGAACGUCGUGAGACAGUUCGGUCCCUAUCCGUCGCGGGCGUAGGAAAUUUGAGAGGAUCUGUCCUUAGUACGAGAGGACCGGGAUGGACAUACCGCUGGUGUACCAGUUGUUCUGCCAAGGGCAUCGCUGGGUAGCUAUGUAUGGAUGAGAUAAACGCUGAAAGCAUCUAAGUGCGAAACUCACCUCGAGAUAAGAUUUCCCAUUCCUUUAUGGAAGUAAGACCCCUGAGAGAUGAUCAGGUAGAUAGGAUGGAAGUGGAAGUACGGUGACGUAUGGAGCGGACCAUUACUAAUCGGUCGAGGACUUAACCAAG
rnacentral:rRNA from 2 species